AUACUUACCUGGCAGGGGAAAUACCAUGACCAUGAAAGUGGUUUUCUCAGGGUAAGGCUCAUCUAUUGCGCUACCAAAUGUGCUGACCCCUGAGAUGUCCCAAAAUGCAGGAAACUCAACUGCAUAAUUUGUGGUAGUAGAGGAUUACAUUCAUGUUCUUCCCUG